AGAGUUUGAUCAUGGCUCAGAUUGAACGCUGGCGGCAGGCCUAACACAUGCAAGUCGAGCGGCAGCACGAGGGAGUUUACUCCUGAGGUGGCUUAGCGGCGAACGGGUGAGUAAUGCCUAGGAAUCUGGCUGGUAGUGGGGGACAACAUUUCGAAAGGGAUGCUAAUACCGCAUACGUCCUACGGGAGAAAGCAGGGGACCUUCGGGCCUUGCGCUAUCAGAUGAGCCUAGGUUGAGAUUAGGUAGUUGGUGAGGUAAUGAGCUCACCAAGGCGUCGACCGGUGAGGUAACGGCUCACCAAGGCUUUGACGGACGGCCUACCAAGGCGAUGAUCGGUAGCUGGUUUGAGAGGGUGAUCGGUCACACUGGAACUGAGACACGGUCCCGACCUCCUACGGGAGGCAGGGGAGGCAGCAGUGGGGAAUAUUGCACAAUGGGCGCAACCCUGAUCCAGCCAUGCCGCGUGAAUGAAGAAGGCCUUCGGGUUGUAAAGCACUUUCAGUAGGGAGGAAAGGGUGAGUCUUAAUACGGCUCAUCUGUGACGUUACCCGCAGAAUAAGCUCCGGCUAACUCCUGUGCCAGCAGCCGCGGUAAUACGGAGGGUGCAAGCGUUAAUCGGAAUUACUGGGCGUAAAGCGUGCGCAGGCGGUUUGUUAAGCGAGAUGUGAAAUCCCCGGGCUUAACCUGGGAACUGCAUUUGAAACUGGCAGGCUAGAGUCUUGUAGAGGGGGGUAGAAUUCCAGGUGUAGCGGUGAAAUGCGUAGAGAUCUGGAGGAAUACCGAUGGCGAAGGCAGCCAUCUGGCCUAAUUGACGCUGAGCCCUGGACAAACUGACGCUGAGGCUCGAAAGCGUGGGGAGCAAACAGGAUUAGAUACCCUUAGUCCACGCCGUAAACGAUGACUUAGUCCACGCCGUAAACGAUGUCUACUCGGAGUUUGGUGUCUUGAACACUGGGCUCUCAAGCUAACGCAUUAAGUACAGUGUCGUAGCUAACGCGGUAAGCGCUGCCGUAGCUAACGCAUUAAGUAUGCCGGAGCUAACGCGUUAAACGCGCCACCUGGGAAGUACGAUCGCAAGCAAGGUUAAAACUCAAAUGAACCUUGAAAAAAAAAAAAAAAAAAAACAAGCAUGUGGUUUAAUU
rnacentral:rRNA from 1 species